UACGUAGGGGGCGAGCGUUGUCCGGAUUUAUUGGGCGUAAAGAGCGUGUAGGCGGUUCGGUAAGUCUGUCGUGAAAUCCUGAGGCUCAACCUCGGGCGUGCGAUGGAUACUGCCGGGCUAGAGGAUGGUAGAGGCGAGUGGAAUUCCCGGUGUAGCGGUGAAAUGCGCAGAUAUCAGGAAGAACACCCGUGGCGAAGGCAGCUCGCUGGGACGUUACUGACGCUGAGGCGCGAAAGCGUGGGGAGCGAACAGG
rnacentral:rRNA from 1 species